rnacentral:lncRNA from 1 species
AUGCAAGAAGUGAAAAUGAUUGUUUAAACAAUAAUAAGAAAACAAGGCUCACACCCGGUUUCAACAAUUGCAAGACUUAGGGUUACUAUGUAUUUUAAUUAGCUUUACUUGAAAUAGUUCGUUAACGGGUCGCAAUCACAAAGCUUAGGUGUCAAUCGCUAUCAACGUCGUAAACAACGGACCAUGAUACACUUCGUUACUUUGGACUAACAAAUCCUACCAAAAGACAAAGCAUAAAUACGUGCAUUCAUUUCACAAAGUCAAAUUUAAUCAUUCACUCGACAGUUUGCAAAUUCAAUACCAACGUAGGACAAUUGUCUAAGAUUCAAACGCAAUUCAAGUUGUCACAAAACAAUCAACAAAACAUAAUAAACCCUAAAUCUUACAAAAGUCUACACCGGGGUGACACCUCCAAGAAAUUAGCCAAGCAUGAUCGAAGAAACUUGAUCACCGGAUGUUGGAAGCGUGAAUUGGAUCAUCAUGAAGCUUGAAGGUGAAUUGAUGGAUGAGGAUUAGGGUUUUAGGUGAGUGAUUAUGGUGGAUGGACGAAUGGUUGAAUGAUUGUAAUGAUGGAAUCUUGAUUGGAGAUGAAGUGUGGUGACGAAGGAUCGAUGAAUAAUGGCUCCAAGACCUGUUUUCAAACUCCAAAUAAGUUGUAACUCCCGAAUUGAUGGCCAACAACCCCAUUUGACUCGUUCUAAACCCCCAAACACAUAAUUUCGCGAUCAAACAAUUGAUGAGCCGUCGCCGACGGCCUGAAGCCCCGUCGGCGACGGUGCCUACUUGUUUACUUU